ensembl:lncRNA
GUGGGAAGAAUGAAGAGGAAGCAUCUUCUGAAUCUUCAGUUUAUUUCACACAUGUGUUUUCUAUGUUUUGAACUGCUCUCAGGUUGAGCCUUCAAUUUCUUGUAGUCCAAGAAAAAGACAUUUUUUAUCCAGUGGGCUGAAUUGUGUUCAAUAAAAAGUUCAAAUCCUAACCUCUGGUACCUCAAUAUGACCCUAGUUGAAAAUAAUAUUUGCAGAUGUAAUCAAGUUAUGAUGGGGUCACAAUGGAGGGUGGAUCCUCCAAUGACUGGUGUCCAUAUAAGGAAAGGAAAAUCUGGCCACGGAGACACAGGUAAGAAUGCUGUGUGAAGACAGAGACAGAGGCUGAGUGAUCUGUCUCUAAGCCAAGGAACUACAAAGAUUGCCAGCAAUCACUGGAUGCUAAGAGGCAUGGGACAGCUUCUCCCUUACCACCUCCAGACAGUUUGCUGAAACCUUGAUUUUGGAUUCAGCCUUCCUAACUAUGAGAGAAUAAAUUUCUACCUUUUAAAGCUACCAAACUUGUGAUAAUUUGUUGUCAACACAAAGAAAUCAAUACAUCCAGCAUAUCCAACUUUGAUAUCAAAUGCCUGCCUGAUGAUGUGCACCAACUGCCACCCCAAUUCAACCACUGCCUUCCUUGGACAAGGGUUUCAGGAACACACUUAAAAUCAUUAAAUGAGACAUAGACUUUACCCUGAUUCCUAUGAUCACCUCAGUAAAGAAAAGUGUUCACAGCAAGAAUAAGGUAACCCCUGCUGCAGCCAUUUCAAAAUAUGUCAAAGAAAUAAGAGAUGAAGAUAAAGAAGAAGGAAAUGAAUCCAGCAAAUUUGAGAAUGAAUGGGGUCUUGCUCGGUCACCUAGGCUGAGGUGCAGUGGCACAGUGACAGUUCACUAUAACCUUGAACACCUGGGUUCAAGUGAUCUUCCUGCCUUGGCCUUCCAGAGGGCUUGGAUUACAGUAAGACAUACAGCUGUGAGUUUAUAAAAGUCUACAGAUUUUCAUCAAAUAAUGAUAAGAGAAAAAUAGAUAAGCUUUCUUUCUU